GAACGAACGCUGGCGGCAUGCCUAACACAUGCAAGUCGAACGAGACCUUCGGGUCUAGUGGCGCACGGGUGCGUAACGCGUGGGAAUCUGCCCUUGGGUUCGGAAUAACAGUUGGAAACGACUGCUAAUACCGGAUGAUGACGUAAGUCCAAAGAUUUAUCGCCCAAGGAUGAGCCCGCGUAGGAUUAGCUAGUUGGUGAGGUAAAGGCUCACCAAGGCGACGAUCCUUAGCUGGUCUGAGAGGAUGAUCAGCCACACUGGGACUGAGACACGGCCCAGACUCCUACGGGAAGCAGCAGUGGGGAAUAUUGGACAAUGGGCGAAAGCCUGAUCCAGCAAUGCCGCGUGAGUGAUGAAGGCCUUAGGGUUGUAAAGCUCUUUUACCCGGGAUGAUAAUGACAGUACCGGGAGAAUAAGCUCCGGCUAACUCCGUG
rnacentral:rRNA from 1 species